rnacentral:rRNA from 1 species
CUCAAGGAAUUGACGGGGCCCGCACAAGCGGUGGAGCAUGUGGUUUAAUUUCGAUGAUACGCGAGGAACCUUACCUGGGCUCAAAUGUAUGUUGACGUAUUCUGAAAGGGAUACUUCUUCGGACAAUAUACAAGGUGCUGCAUGGUUGUCGUCAGCUCGUGCCGUGAGGUGUCGGGUUAAGUCCCAUAACGAGCGCAACCCCUAUCAUUAGUUGCCAUCAGGUCAAGCUGGGGACUCUAAUGAAACUGCCUACGCAAGUAGUGAGGAAGGUGGGGAUGACGUCAAGUCAUCAUGGCCCUUACGGCCUGGGCUACACACGUGCUACAAUGGUCGGUACAAAGGGUUGCCAAGCCGCGAGGUGGAGCUAAUCCCAUAAAACCGAUCGUAGUCCGGAUCGCAGUCUGCAACUCGACUGCGUGAAGUCGGAAUCGCUAGUAAUCGUGAAUCAGAAUGUCACGGUGAAUACGUUCCCGGGCCUU